GAUGAAGAACGUAGCGAAAUGCGAUAAGUAAUGUGAAUUGCAGAAUCCAGUGAAUCAUCGAAUCUUUGAACGCACAUUGCGCCCCCUGGCAUUCCGGGGGGCAUGCCUGUCCGAGCGUCAUUUCUGCCCUCAAGCACGGCUUGUGUGUUGGGUGUGGUCCCCCCGGGGACCUGCCCGAAAGGCAGCGGCGACGUCCGUCUGGUCCUCGAGCGUAUGGGGCUCUGUCACUCGCUCGGGAAGGACCUGCGGGGGUUGGUCACCACUAUAUUUUACCACGGUUGACCUCGGAUCAGGUAGGAGUUACCCGCUGAACUUAAGCAUAUCAAUAAGCGGAGGA
rnacentral:misc_RNA from 1 species